CACGGUAGUUUAUCUUGUCUUCUCCACAAGAACACAGGUCAAUCAGCUGGGGGGAAAAAAAAGCAACAGCGUAAAGAGUUGGAAGAAGCUGCAAACAUGUAUUUUUUUAGGGAGAAGUAUCCAGAGGUACACCUUAUGUGACAGAGCAGAAGAUCUCAUUCCCCAGUGUGGAAGAGCUUCCUACGUCAGUAGACCUGCAUCCCAGGCUGUGAAGGCUCUACUUCUCUGUUCUGGAGUCCACAGGAGAAGCAGACAACACUGGGAAGUAUUCUUUUCCUGAUGUAGUUGCCGAGACCAUCUUCAACAGCUGCUUAACAGAGCAAAGGAGGAAACAUCCCACUUAGAGCUGCUGGCUGAUGCUCUGCCUCUUAACCCAUGUUUCAAGAGAGCUGCAAGGAUAAGACCAGGCAAAGACUGACUUUGGGUAACAGGACCUCUCCUGAGGCAACUCAGAAUAUCUGCUGCAACACCUGGGGCCUGAAUUAAAAAUUGUACCUUCCCUCACAUUACGCCCUCUGUGGCCGGUGACUCAGGAAAUAACCAGAAUAAAAUACUUUGCUCUUCUGA